UUGGUUCCUUAUCCCUAUAUUAGGGCCUCCAGACUCUCCAACUCUUUUCACACAUCAAUCAAAUCAUAAAUUAAAAGCACUUUGUUCAUUUCUAAUGGAACAGUAGCAGCUUUCACAUCUAGGGUUUUCUUCAUGUCUUGUGGUGGAAAACUAUUCUCAGUAAUCUGCCGGCGCCGAUAAACUUGAUCAAUUCAAGAUUCACAUAUCAUUGGGUAAAACGUUAUGGUGACAGAAGAGAGUGAGCACAUAUAUUGUUUUCUUGGAUGAAUACCCAUGCUUGAAACUAUGCGUGCUCACAUCUCUGUCUGUCACCUCAUCUCUCCUUUCUUAUUUCUCCCUCUUGAUUUUUAUGAGUGUUGUUUUGUGCAUAUAGUUUAUGUGCUCAUUUGAACCCACAAUUUUGUGUGCCAAAAUCUUUAUUACUCCAUAUUUUUAACACUGAUGAUGAGGGUAAAUGAAUUGAGCUUGAAACAUGGUCAGUGAGCAUUCAUAUAGUCAAUUUCAAUGUGUUUAGCAUUGAGACAAAGUUUUUGUUAUUAUAUCAAAUUUUCAACACGUAUCCUUCACAGCAUCCAUGGAGAUUAAUUUCUGGAUCUGCGUUUCGUAUCUGUAAUUCCAGUUCUAGAAGUAGGGGAUAAUUGGUAAGCUGUAAAUAGCUCAAAGCUAUGGAACAAAGGAUUAUCUCGGACAUAGGUAUUGAUGGACUUAAGUGUGGAAUAAUUGUCGAUUCAUAUAUAAGGUUUGCUUCAUGUUCGCUGGACUUCACUGCUAGAACUAAGUUGUCAAACAGUUUUCUGCAUUUGUUUAUUAUUUUAUAUCAGUGGAUAAGUAAAAUUCUUUGCAGUUUUGUGCAGCUGUCUAGAGUUUCUGGAUAUAUUUAUUUUAUCUCUUUUCCUUUAAUUCAAGUUCCAUUAACUACUUUUUUCUAUUUUUGGGUGGAUCUUGGAGUUUUUGGGAUGGGGAAGGCAGUCUGGCUCACCUAAUGUCUUUGCAUGUGUUCUGUCAUAUUAGUUUGAAUUUUGAGAAAUAUUAUUAUUAUUAUUAUUUUAAAUUUCAACUAUAUCUGAAUGUACAAUCUUUGAACUACUUUGAAAAAAUAGUUCACAUAUUUUGAAAUUGCAUGAAAAAUAUCAUUAAUUGAAAAGCAAACAAACAAAUUGCGGUUAAUGAUUUUUUUUUUUUGGCUCUCAAAAUUUAAUUAUGUUACUUCGUCUAUUCUAAUUUAUAUUUAUAUGAUGUAGCUCAAAUUUCGAGAAUUAAACUUUAUUAUUUUAAUCUUGCAUCCCUUCAUAAGCUCUUUAAGAUUUUAAAAAAAUAAUUUACAUAUCUAAAAACUACAUAAAAAAAUACUAUAAUUUACUCAAUUAAAUAAUAUAAAAUAUUCAAAGAGCAUCCGGAUAAAUCAAAGCAAAAAGUUUCUUGCUUGACUAUUCUAACUAUUUCAUAUAAACUGUUACAGAAAAAUUAUAUAAAUUGCUACAGAUCGAGUAAUAUUUUGCUGCUAAAACCCCAAGAAAAUGCUAGGUCAAAUGGUAUUUCAAUAUUUUGUGUUUAUGCCCAAAGGAAUACUGAUUAAACAGUAUCGAUAUGUUUGUUAAUUUCUUGUAAGAAACGGGAUUUUACGAAAAUUUUGCAUACAGAUCUAUUCUUAUCUAGGAGAGAAAAGUUCGUCUCUAAGCGUUUCUUUUUAAUUGAGUAGUUUAAUAUAGUGAGAUUUAAGACUUGCAAAAUGUAACAAAAUAAACUAGCAUAGGAUACAAUAGAUUGUGUGAUGCUGUGCCGAUCGAUAUACUUUAGUAAUUUUAGAUGUUAUGUUUGAAAGUUAUAUCUUUUGUGCAUGGACUAAAAGAAAAAAAAUGUAUAUGUAAUUGUCCAUAAUAAAUGAAAUUAUUAUUAUCUUAAAAAUAUGCAAAACCUACCGCGUGUAAUUGACACUUCAAAAUGUGUACAAGUUAAAUUCAUGAUUACUUUGACCAGCUCUUGCUAUGAAUACACCGUGUAUUAUACACUGUGUUAAUGUGACUAGCAAAUCACGUCGUGCUCAAUCAAACAAUGGACAUUGACUACGACUUGUCAGUUCCACAACAAGGAGGUUUUGUUAUAGGCGGUUGUUGGAUGAUUAUAGCAUCUAGAACUUGGAAGUUCCUACUACGAACUAAUGUAAUUGCUUUUUGGUUAAUUCUCAAAACAUCUUCUCAAUUCUCUGCCUUAGAUUAUCACCAUGUAAGUGUAUAGAAGUCAUGGAUUAUGGCCUACAACUUUCAGGAAUCCUCGAACAUGUUUUUUUUUUUUUUUUUUGUGUCUGCUUCUUUUUUUUUAAUUAAUGCCUAGCAUUUUUACUCAUUUUCCAAAAUAAGAGUGCGGAUUAUUUGACGGAGUAAAAAUAUUAAAAGAGAUGAAGUAAAUGCAACUAGUAAUUGGGUACAUAAAUCAUUUAGCCAUCAUGUAGGAGAUAUUCAGUCUACACACUAUAUGGACUUAAUUCCUCCACAAAGAUUAGCUCUAUAGUUGUACAUAGUCUGGCUUGAAAGUAGGAACCUUUCUUUUGGUAGAAGUUUGUAUGGUUAGCAAACUUAUUUUGGUAGAAGUUUGUAUGGUUAGCAAGCUUUAUGUAUUUAUCAAUUGUCAUAUGAGGUCUUUGACUUAUGUUAGUAGUUCAGUAAAACUAUGAAACAAAUGUCAAUAGGGAGACAAGUUGAUUAAGCUCUCUGAACACAUGAUUCAUAAUGAAACCUAGCGUUCCAUGGAUUCCCUUUUUUCCUCCAUCUCUUUUAAGAUUCUCCAAUAUCUUGAAAUCACUCUCAACUAUAAUGUAUUAGUUGCCAAGGUGGAACUUGUCAACCUUUGGGACUUCGGCCAAACAACCAACGGUUUGUUCCCUCCACAAAAAUUAGCUCUAUAGUCGUACGUAGUCUUCAUGUUUCAAGGCGGCUUGAAAGUAGGAACCUUUGUUUUGAUAGAAGUUUGUAUGAUUAACAAGCUUAUUUUGGUAGAAGUUUAAUUUGUAUGAUUAGCAAGCUUCAUGUAUAUAUCAACCGUCAUAUGAGGUCUUUGACUUGUGUUGGUAGUUCAGUAAAACUAUGAAACAAAUGUCAAUGGGGAGAGGUAUGGCUCAAGUUGGCUAGAUUGUUUGCAAGUUGAUUAAACUCUCUGAACACAUGAUUCAUAAUGAAACCUAGUGUUCUGUGGAUUUCCUGUUUCUCUCCAUCUCUUUUAAGAUUCUCGAAUAGCUUGGAAUCACACUCAAAUCUAAUGUAUUUCUAGUUGUUUGUUCUGGUGCCCAGGCACGAUCUAGAGUGUGUGCAAAUAUGAGAAGCCAUCAACAUCUAGGAUCACUCCAUCCCUUCGACAUCUAUCAUUUCUAUAGGUAUCAUCUAAGGUAAGUGUAAUGUGGCAAUAUUUUUGAUCAAUAUUUUAUUGAAAAUCUCUUGAAUUUCUCAUGAUAAUGAUAUAUUGAAAAUUUUUAUCAAGAAUUUUUCUUCUCAUAUGGAUGAAAUUAUUUGGAGAUUUUCUCUUUUCUCCCAAGAACUUUCUCCUAUAAAUAGAGGAGAGUUCUUUCACUUUAGACACACCAAUUUAAGAAGAGUUAAGUUGUGAUUUAUUUUUUUCUUUAUAGAGAGUAUUUUGUAAUAGAAUUGUGUUGGGAAACACUUGUGUGAACACUUCUUUUGGAGUGAUUUAGUGAGGUUGUUCUCUUGGGGUAUUUGGGAUAUUAGAGUAUUUGAUUACUCUAAUUUUGUACCCUCUUUUGUUCUUUUGUACGCUCUUUUGCAUCCGCUGUUGUUAGUAAAUUGCUCAUUUUUUUGGUUGUGGAUGUAGGUUAAGUUGAUCGAACCACACUAAAUUCGUGCCUUCUUUAUUUUCUCAACUAAUUGUUAUUGUCGUCUAUUGUAAUUAAUUGAUUACUUUGUUUAAUUCCACACUAUUUGAGAUUUUUUAUCCUAGCAAAUUGGUAUAAGAGCCAAAUUUAUCUCAGUUUUGUCCUAGUAGUCACCAUGACUAUUACGAAGAUUUACGUUGAGAAAUUUGAUCGACGUGCAAACUUUGAAAUGCGGUAGUUGAAAAUGAAAGUUAUACUAGUUUAGGAUGGUUUAGAUAUGGCGUUGCAAGAAAAGAAGAAAAUUUUAGAAAAAAUGACUGACGAGGAGUUUGAUAGCCUUGAUAAAAAUGAAAGAUCUAAUAUUAUACUAAAUUUCUCUGAUGAUGUACUACGUAAAGUAGCUUCAAAAACCACUGCUAAAGACAUGUUGGAAAAGUUGAAAGGUUUGUUUAUGAGAAGGACGGUAGAGAAUAGACUCUACUUGAAGCGAAAGCUUUAAACUUUGCGGAUGAUGAAAAUACUUCUAUACUUUCAUUUCUUGAUGCUUUUGAUUCCAAUCUUAUGGAUUUAAGUAAUAGAUGUCAAGAUUGAGGAAGAAGAUCAUGCUGCUGUGCUAAUACGUUCCCUACAUAAUCCUUUGAGCAUUUUACAGAUAGUAUACUUUCUGGGAAAGAAAAAGAUCAAAUCUAUGCUACAAUCUAAAAUCAGAUAGAUAAGAGAUAUUACAGGAGAAAAAUAGUGAAAAUCAGGCGUCCAAUUUAGUUUUCAGAAUUAGAUCUGAUGUAAAGCCCAAAUAUAGUAAUUCAGUGUGUUAUUAUUCUCGUAAAAGAGACCAGGUUAGGCCGGUUGAUUGUCCCAAGUUAAAAAACAAAUGAAAAGAAAAAACUGAGCAUGAGGAGAGGAUUCUAGCACUGGUGAAGCAAGUGUAAGUGUUGCUACUGAUGAAAUUGAAGGAGAAAUAUUUUUAGUAAUUAAUUUUUUUUAUUCUAACAAUAAUGAAUUUUAAAUUUGGCUUGUUCUUUUCAUAUGUGUCCUAAUAGUGAUUUAUUUUCUAAUAUGAUUUUGCUUGCAAAAUUACUGAAAAAGGUAGAGUCCAAAUCAAAUGCAUAAUAACGUGGUGAGAACACUCAUAGAUGAAGAUAUGUUUCUUGCAAAAUUACUGAAAAAGGUAGAGUCCAAAUCAAAUGCAUAAUAAUGUGGUGAGAACACUCAUAGAUGAAGAUAUGUUCCUCAGUUGAAGAUAUGUUCCUUGCAAAAUUACUGAAAAAGGUAGAGUCCAAAUCAAAUGCAUAAUAAUGUGGUGAGAACACUCAUAGAUGAAGAUAUGUUCCCAGUUCAAGAAAAAUCUUAUCUCUUUGGGCGUUCUAGAAUCCCUUAAGUGUAAAUACAUAGGUGAAAGUGAAGUUCUUGAAGUCUCUCGAGGUGAUUUUAUGAUUAUGAAGGACGUAAGUCUGAGAUAUUAUACACAAUAUUGGGAUCUGCUGUUACAGGUGUUUGCUACUAUUCCAAUUUCAUAUUGCGAUACGUUUGAUUCUGACAUCUUGAAAUUUUGAAAGCUCCAUGGGGCUUUGUAAGGAAGAUAGAGCAUAUUACCAUAUUAGUCAAAAUUAGGCCAUGGUGGAGAUUUGGAAUAUGGCCAUAUUUUUUAUUAAUAUUUUAUUGAAAAUCUUCUGAUUUCCUUAUCAUAAAUGAUAUAUUAAAAAUCUCUAUCAAGGAUUUUUUUCUUCUAAUGUGGAUGAGUGGGAGAAAAGAGAAAAUCUCAAUAAUCUCUAUCAAGGAUUUUUUUCUUCUAAUGUGGAUGAGAUUAUUGAGAUUUUCUCUUUUCUCCCAAGAACUUCCUCCUAUAAAUAGAGUAGAGUUCUUUCACCUUAGACACAUCAAUUUAAGAAGAGUUUAGUUGUGACUUGUUUUCUUCUUUGUAGAGAGUAUUUUGUAAGAGAGUUGUGUUGGGAAAUACUUGUGUGGACCCUUUUAUGGAGUGAUUUUGUGAGGUUAUUCUCUUUGGAUAUUUGGGAUAUUAGAGUAUUUAAUUACUCUAAUUUUAUGCUUUUAUACUCUCUUUUGCAUCCGUUGGUAUUAGUAAAUUGCUUUUCCUUUUGGUUAUGAACGUAGAGUCGAUCGAACCACGUUAAAUAUGUCCCUCUUUUAUUUUCCCUACUUAUCAUUAUUAUCAUCUUUAUUAUUGUAUUUGAUUAUUUUAUUUAAUUCUGCACUAUCCGAGGUUUCCAAUUCUAACAUUAGGCUUAACAAAGCUCGUUAUUGGUGGUUUGACCUACCUAACAGUGGUGCUCUUUGUUGAAGUGGAUCGUGCUUCAUGUAUGAUUAAUGUGUAAUGUUAUCCUUGUUUGGACACAGUUUAAUGCUAUGAGUUGGUUGUUCAAAAUCGUAGAUAGUAACGAAAACAAGGAAAGGUGACCUCUUCACACGUCUUCUCAGUGCCAUAUUUGGCUCCGCAUGUCUAAACCUCAAAAUUUACCAAGGAUGUGUAAUUUGUAGGCAUUUAACAAUGAAUCGUCUAGAUUUCAUAAGCCAAACCCCCCAUCAUUUAUAGAAGAGACGAUCAACAGUUUCAAGGUUAGGUGCUUUGCCACAGUAAUUCGUGUUGCUUGUGCAGAUAUUUGUGUGUAUGUUCAUCUAAUGAAUUUGCUUUGCCAAUAUAGGAAGAAGCUUCCUAUAGCUAGCUGUAAUAUGAACAUUACAUUUGUCUUUUAAGAAAACUCUUGAGCUUGAAUUUCUCAAGUAAAGCACAUAAAAAAAUUAAGUACGAAAAGCAGGUACGUAAAGCAAACAUAGUUGAAGAAGCCAAUACAUGAUUAUACCUCACCCUUCCCAAACUCCACUGAUUGUAAUUACAUUGGGCAUAUACUAUUGUUCUUGUUGAUAUAGCCCUAUGUAAGUAUUUACCAAGAUUGAGAAUCCAAUAUGCUGGAGGGGUUUUAUAAUCACAGUAUGAAGCACUGACCCAGUGUAAUCUUACCUUCAUGUUUUAUAAGUAAAGUGCGAAAGAAAACCCUUGAACUUUUAAAGUUGGCUAGCUAAUUGUUAUGCUUCGUAUUCUAUGGUAUUUGUUUCUUUCAGCUAGUAGCCUAAUUUCAAUGGUCAUGGCGAACGAGGAAUAAUACAAAAAUUAAUAAAAUAGUUAGACCAUUGGAAACCGAUUAGCAGGAAAGAGAUUGGUAGAAAUUUGAAAUUACAUUUGAGUUUAAAGGAAAUGAAAACAGUAGAAGAGAACUAGCUAGGUCACAAAGGAUGCCUAGUUUAUGAAUUAGGCCAAGCUUAAACUAAAGGAGAAGAACUAAACCAAAAAAAAAAAAAAGGCGUUGUUCCAUUUCUUGUCUUGUCUUACUAUAUUCUGUAGUUAUUGGGUUCUUUAAUGAGAAGCUAUUCAUUCAGUGCCUUCACCGCACAAGGCAAUCUCAUAGAUGAAGCUUCAUUCUUCUAUAUGAAAGAUCCCUUGAGGCCCUUAGUAUAAAAGCUUUUGGUCAAAGAGGUCAGCAUAUCCUCUUAGGGUUAAGUUUUUCAAGAGACAUGAAAUAUAUAUUAGUUCAAUGAUCCUAUAUUUUUUUGUUUUUUCGGCAUUCGUUUUGAGGUCAAAGUAAUCUGGAUUUGCGCCGUGAAGUCUCAUUUUGGGGUGAAGUGCUCAUAUAAAAAAGUAACCCCAUCUCCGGGGCUCAAAUCAUGACCUUUGCUUAAGACUCUGAUAUUAAAAAUGAAGGGCUACUAUCACCCACCACAACCCUUGUGGUUAGUUCAAUGAUCUGGUUAAGCAUACUACAUUAGAGGCUAAUUUGCUGAUCUAAUCACUUAAUGGUAUAAAAUCUACAUCUUACCUUGCUGGUUUCUUGUGGUGUUCACCGGUGCAAAAAAAAAAAAACCCUUUCAGGUGACCUACAGCUCUUGGUUACAAUGUACUAAUUACAGAUUUCUUAGUUUUCCGUUCUACUUCAGAGAAUUCUUGCAGCAGAUACACUUAUCGUGAAGUAUCAUCCCACUCUCUCCGUUCUACAAAGAUGCACGGAGGGAAGCGACAUGGUACACUUUGGGCUCCAUCACGGCUGGUUGGGUCUUCUAUUAAUCACCAACAAAAAGACUAUGGAGGGGGACCAAACCUUACCUCCAUAUACACCUUGAGAUUGUAGCAAUCUAUACAUGGAUGGAGGGAUAGGCUUCUCUUAGAUGUUGAUAACUAAACAACUGCAGUGUUGAACGGUUGUUCCAGGCUAUGGACGUUGAAGAUGUUUCCAAGACAUCUUUAUGUUAAAAGUAACGUAGUGGUAUCGCCCUUUUUUUUGUGAUGACGUUUGAAAUGUACUCCACUCCUUUAUUAAUUUUCGUGACACGGUUCAAAUUUUGAGAGUUAAAAUUUUUAAUUUGAUAGUAA